UUAAUUCAGGUCACGUCUACAUUGCGACGGAAACUACGGUCUUUUGGUAUAAAAUAUGGGAUAUGGGUGUUAAAUAAUCAUUCUGUAUGAAAUACUGCCGUGAUUAAGAUGCUUAAAAGUAGUAAUUCAACUUGAAGGAAGGAUUGUUCAAUAAUGCCGUAAACGUGAAUCAGUUUGAUCCACUUCUAGACAGCGGUUUAAAUCCUUACGUAUUUCUUGAGAUACAUUACGUUCCGUGUAACACACUGUCAACCGAUGGAUGAACAAAUGACAGCUCUAGAACUGAUAGCUAAAUAUGAAAAAAAUAAUGGAAAGAAAUGGUUACCUAAUCCCUUUUAUAAUGAGGCCCUUGGUAAACUCGGGUAUACAAAGGCGCGUUUGGAGGAAAGAGUCAUAAUAUAUGACAAUGGUGCCAAAGGUUUGACCAAAGUAGCGAAUAGAAAUUGGUCAGAAAACAUAAAUGCUGUUGUUGCUGGAAGCCGUGGUGAAGGGAUGGCAGUUUCAUGGAAAAGUGAUGUAGAUGUGAUAUUUGUUCAGCCAGCUGUUAAAUGUUUUGAAUGUUACCCAACGGCAGAAUCCAAAGCAGUUGAAAACUACGAAGCAGCCUUUGAAUUUGAUUUAGAUGAUGUUCCCGAAUGAUAUACAAAAUUACUUUCAAAACAUUUGGGAUGCUCCACAAAAUAUGCAGAUCUAAGAUCAAGAAUUCAGGAAUCAUUGACGGACAAAGGAUAUUUGAAAAAGGCGAAAAACUGAUUGCAGCGGUAGAGUAUGGGGGCAAAAGAUGUUAAAAAAGAAGGUUAUCUCAGCACAACUUACAUGCACGAUAAAGUAACAGGACGUGCACAGCCACUCCGAUUGAAAAUUAAUCCAGCACUUGAUAUAGAUAUAUCUGUUGACCAUGUUCAAGCAUUUCCUUGUGAGUACCCAUCAGCAUUGGACGACUGGCUUAAGCAAGAGAGACAAAAUGCCUGGACGAGUUCAGAAGUCUUGACAGAAGUACAGAAAACAGAUUUAUUGGUUGUAUCUGUUGGGCUGUCCGGCAGUAAAGAUGAGAACUUGCAAUGGAGAAUUUCUUUAAGCCUCGCAGAGAGAGAGCUCUGAUACGCUCGUUCAAUGACACGCAGAUAAAGGUGUAUGCUGCAAUGAAAAUACUGGCGAAACAUGAACUGAAUCCAAUAUGCGCUAAUAUCACUUCAUACAUAGUGAAAAAUGUGAUCUUCUGGGUGUUUGAAAAAAGGUCGGGCACAUUUCAGGAAGACAACUUUGUUGAGAUAUUAUUGCAGGCCCUGGUGUACUUGAAAGAAUGUGUAACUUUGGGAUGUCUUCCAAAUUACAUGAUUCAUUCCAAGAAUUUGCUACAAGGGAAGGUGUCACAAGAAGAGAAAAUCAAACUGGAAAAAACAUCUCGAUAUUCUGAUUACAGAAGAUUCGACUGUGCUACUACGUUGCCCUUUGGUACAAGAAAUGGCUGAAAAAUCGGAGGAUGAACUGAAAAAGAAAUUGCUUUUUAGAGAACUGACGGAUAAGUUUUCGCUUGCAAUGUUCGCUGUUCCUCAGCAUGAAUUCGACAAAAUUGAACAUUUACUUCAUGUAGCACAGAAAAGCGAUGGAUGUAGUAAGGUAUACUUUGAAGAGGUGUUACCAAUAAUAAGAGAGUCAAAUCCUUUUGGUGUAUUUACUCUAUUUCAAACUAUGUCGGAUCCUGAAAUCAUAGGUUUGAUAUAUCAAGGAUUCAUGGGUGGCUAUGCCGAAAGUUGGAUGGGUUAAGACAAUUAAUAAGUAAGACAAAUCAUACAGUUCUGAAGACUUUGCUGACCUAGUUGCAAGAACACUUUGUUGUUUACUCACGUGCAUCCAAUAUUUUACAGUUCAGUUCAAGAUUGUAUUAUGUAAAUAAAAGUUCAUACAGAUGUGCAAAACACAAACUCCAGUUUGCAGUGGGCCAGCCUUGGAUUCAGUGUUGUUGUAUUUUCUCGUCUUUUAUAAUCAUCAAGUCUAUUCAAUAGGUGUAAAAGUGUUCUGCUUAAGCCGGUGCUAUUAUUAUUUUUUGUUGCAUUUUAUGCCUUCAAAGCAUCUUUUUACAGAUUUUAUAUGCUAUAUAUUGGACAAUAGCCAUGCGCAUUAAUCUGUAUACAUGUACGGUAAAAUAAAAUGACAAUUUUGUUAACAUGAUAACUUGCUUUAAGAUAAUUAUGUAAAGACUUACUGUUAUACUAUCAACACAGCUUCAAACAUGAACAUACGUUUAAAUCUGGUGAAGUAGUCAAAUCAUUAUUAUGAAAAAAUACGAUAUAGACAGAAAAAAAAAUAAGCAGUACAAUAAAUCUCCUACAAUUGGAAAUCUAACUGUUAUACUGUAUUAGAAAAUCUGCAACAGUUACAGUUGCGAAACAGUUACAGUUGCGAAAUGCCUUGUUACUUUGCUCUGUCUUUAUUACAUUGUUCAUAAAAAUACAGUUACAACAGA
rnacentral:lncRNA from 1 species